rnacentral:lncRNA from 10 species
GUGAACAGAGCUAGAUAAACUGGGUGUGCAGGUCCGGAAAUGCUUUCCCUCGAGGUUGGUCUGUUCUCAGGAGGGACUGGUGACAGGGCUGUCUAUGGGGCUCAGACUGUGUGUGGGGACCUGGAGAAGGUGAAAAGCUUGGCCUGUGUUUGACUCACAAGCAUGACGUCUGACACAUCAGCGGGAACAAGCGAUACAGCUAAUCAUGCAUGAGGCACGGAGUUCGAGGGACUCGUCUGGAUCUCACCUAAGCCGCAUGGGGCGGGCGGCACCUUGUAGUGAGCUGUUUGCAGGAACACCACGGUGAGAUUUCUUACCCUUCACCAUUUUCCAGGAUCACAGGGCUCAGUUGAAGUCCAAGACUGUCAGAGGUGUGGAUAAAGUUAAAAUAUUUAACCUUCUCAUGUAAACAUAAGAGCCUGAUUAAUUUUGAGACAUGAGCUUUGGACCCAGACCUGAGCUGGACUCUUGCUUCACUUCACUUCACCGAGCUGCGUGGGCUUGGAGGGAUGGUAUGUUCUGUAACCUCAUCUGCAAAACGGGGACGUAAAAGCAACUGUCUCAGAGUG